rnacentral:rRNA from 1 species
CACGUAGGCGGCCUGUUAAGUGUGGAGUGAAAUCCCACGGCUCACCCGUGGAACUGCUUCGCAUACUGGCAAGCUCGAGGACGGUAGGGGAGAGCGGAACUCUUGGUGGAGCGGUGAAAUGCGUAGAUAUCAAGAGGAACACCGAUGGCGAAGGCAGCUCUCUGGUCCGUUUCUGACGCUGGGGUGCGAAAGCUAGGGUAGCGAACG